CUAAGGAGGCUACACUCUUCACACAGAUGUGGUGGGAUGCAAGUGACUGAGUCCAGUAGAAAAGACCACACCCAAGUUGUUGUAGAGGCUGCUUUGUGACCACAGGCUUGAGCCAUGGAAACUCGGUCAAGGCAAAAGGGCCCAUGGGACCCCAACCCCCUGGCUGAAUCCAGACAGGCCCAUCAGGCGACCCAUCUCAAAAUAGCCAUAGGCCCUAACUAACCAACGCGCUGCUGCGGACAACCAGGCACCGCUACCAAAAAAGGGAAAAUUUCGUGCAUCCC